GUGGUCAAGCUAUUAAGGGCACAUGGGGGAUGUCUUGGCGUUAGGAGGCUUUGAAGGGCGCGGAAGACUGCGAUAAGCCUGGGGGAACCGUCAAACAGGUGAUGAUCCCGGGAUUCCUGAACAGACAUGAACUGAAUUCAUA
rnacentral:rRNA from 1 species